UCCCUAUCGUCUAGUUGGCCCAGGACACCGCUCUUUCACGGCGGUGACCGGGGUUCGAAUCCCCCUGGGGACG
rnacentral:tRNA from 1 species